rnacentral:misc_RNA from 1 species
AGAGAGAGAGAGAGAGAGGGGGGGGGGGGGGGGGGGGGGAGAAGAAACUCAAAGAAUGAAUAACAAAUUUUCUCAAUGUUGGCUCAAAGUAAGUUGGUAAUAACAAUUUGCUAUUAACUGAAUUGAGACACUAUUCCAACUCAUCAUGAAAUUUUGUACAGUGAACUAAUCCGGUUGGUUGUGCAAUUCCAUUAUUUUAUUUUCAAAACUUAACAAAUUAUCAAAAUUUUUUUGUAAAUCAAUUUUUAACCUUAUUACACAGUGCAAACAUCAUUAGAGCUAAUUCAAACAUGGAAAUCUAUUUUUGUGUCUAGCAGGCAGAAAAUAUAUUCAAAAUUCAGUGUUAAAAUGAAACUGCUCCAUCUCAACAUGCAUGUGUAUGGUAUUGAAAAGAAACUAUUUUUAAACUUACGAGUUAAGACUACCAUUGCCUUGGUCCUUGGCUCAACAGGUUUCGAGAACCAUAUUUUUUAACUCAUGCUUCUAAUUUUUUUAUCCAUAGAACUAGAGCAACAAUUCUUGGGUAGGAACAGCAAUUAAUUAACCAGAUGCAGGUAGCUUCAACUCAUUCCCAAAUCCAGCCCAUUUAUUACAUUAGCAACUCUUGUUUACUAACAGAACAAAAUAAGCAUUAAACAAAUCAUUGUCAUCAGAUAAUAAAUUGUUUGAGACACAAGAUAAGUAUAGAAAAAGAAAAACUUGCAAGAAAAAAAUGUGGUUCCUGUCAAGGAGAAGAAUUGCACAAUAAGCUUCAAGGAAAGACUGCAAUAGGACAAUCAAGCCAGUAACCUCCACAAGAAAAGUUCCCUCACGGUGCUGCAUAUAAGCCCAGUAGCCAUCCAACGUGGCCACUUGAAAUUAAAACAUCACACCAUGCAGGACCAGGCUAUGAUAUGUGGACCUCAAAAUCCAAACUAUAUACAUCCAUUGUUUCCAGAAUCAUG